UCUUUACCUUUCAACCCUCUUCCUCGCUAAAAUCAACAGUUCCUUCUCCUUUUAUCACAGCCCAGUCCCCAUCUCCUCCUUUGGCCGACACCCCAUAACCACCUGUCAGUUCCACCACACCAAGACAAAUACAACAUCACAGUCCCAUAUCCACAGCCAUUAGCCACUGAUCAGUCACCAGCAACAACCAAAACCAUAAUUGUCGUCUCCCUCACUUUACCAACUGAACCGAACACACCACAAGCCCAUAAAACUCCACCCCUCUUCCUCACUAAAAUCACAGCAGCCCACCACUCAUCAUCCAAGAAUAAACCAGCAGCCACCACCAAUGUCAACCUCUUCCACCCGAAUCAACCCAUAAUAAAUCAAAACAUCCAGUAGCAGCCUGAACCAGCACCAGCCUAAUCUCACAGCCACUGCCCCAGUUGACACCGUCACAACGCUGCCUCUUCCUCCAGCAGGUGCUGGAAGCGCCACCCAAAGCUACCAUACACCCAUUACAGCCACCGUAAAGUCGUCAUCUGCCCACCAACUCCACUGUCAACAUCAGCGGUUCAAUUUCCCCUCUUCUCCAACAGCCGUCAGACCAAACACGACCUGAUCUUAGCGUCGCUGUCAUCUCCAACAUCCAACACCACAAAUCCUCCACACCCAAACCAGCAAAUCAUCCUCCACCACAGUUACCCCAAACCUCAUCAAAAUCGCAGUCUUCCACACCAGUAAAAGAUCCUGAUAUUAGCAACUUCCAUUUCUCCAAAUCAUCACGCCAGCAACAUAGCCUCAUUGGAGUGCCCCCUCGCCAUGCCAGGAUUAUGAAGUUCACCCACAAGUUGUGACCAAGUUUGGACAUUCUCUAAGAACUUGAGGGAGAAAGAUAAACAUCUGCUAGAGUUGUUUGUCUGUGGUUUUUUUUUUUUGGAUUUAUAAAAGGUACGUGAGAAGCACGCGCCAUCCAGUCAGAAUCCAAGUGCCGUGCGUAGUACACGCGUCAACAGUGUUUCCAGUCUCUAUUUUCAGCAAUUUUCUGAUCUUCUCCAUCAGGUCGCUUUGGCUGGAGUGCUGUUGACAUGCUUCGCAGCCUAUUUGUUAUCUCUGUAAACGAUGGUCUGGCUUCUGGAUCAGAGGCCCAGCAUUCUUCCAUCAACUUUCUCCAUCCUGUAUCGCAGUGUUCUGGUACAGGAGGCCUCAGCGUGCUGCUUACAAUUCCACCUUCAUUCAGAAAUUCCACAAUGUGUAAGAUCUUUUAUCUUUUCAAUUUCCUUUCCUCUGUUUUCUCUCUUCCCUGUAUUUAUCUCUCUUGUGUUGUAAUUAUUGAUAGCUUACGCGUUAUAGAGUUUCUGGGUUAAGGGAGGGAAAAAACCUGACCUAUUAUAGCGCCGAAUUGCAUGUUGGCAUAUGGCUCUUCACCAGUCAGGAUCUCCCACAUUGCGAUGCCAAACGAGAAAACAUCAACCUGUAAAGGAAGAUUUCUCAAAUGUUGUUGGAAAAUGUGGUUCAAAAACUUUAUUAAGAAGUUACAAUUUUUAUUCUUGAUAUACUCGAAACUCCAUUAUACAAGUACUGUGCUAACCUUCUCAGAGACUCGGUUGCUGGUGCCAUCCAAUAACUCUGGUGCCAUCCAUGGAAGGGUUCCACGCACACCACCAGAUACGAGCGUGUUCCUUUUAAUUUUUGACAAUCCGAAAUCUCCAACCUGGAGAACAGGUGAAUUACAUGUAUGAAUGAGACUGAUGUAGAGUGAAUAAAGCUGAAAGAAACUCUUUUGGAAAUUGAAAAGCAUGCUUUGAUACAGAA